AUUUUGUAGGGGCGGAUGGGGUGGCUACCAUGCAGUCGACGGCAGCACAGUAAGAGCUUGCUCUUACGGGUGGCGAGUGGCGGACGGGUGAGGAAUACAUCGGAAUCUACUUUUUCGUGGGGGAUAACGUAGGGAAACUUACGCUAAUACCGCAUACGACCUACGGGUGAAAGCAGGGGAUCUUCGGACCUUGCGCGAUUGAAUGAGCCGAUGUCGGAUUAGCUAGUUGGCGGGGUAAAGGCCCACCAAGGCGACGAUCCGUAGCUGGUCUGAGAGGAUGAUCAGCCACACUGGAACUGAGACACGGUCCAGACUCCUACGGGAGGCAGCAGUGGGGAAUAUUGGACAAUGGGCGCAAGCCUGAUCCAGCCAUACCGCGUGGGUGAAGAAGGCCUUCGGGUUGUAAAGCCCUUUUGUUGGGAAAGAAAUCCAGCCGGCUAAUACCUGGUUGGGAUGACGGUACCCAAAGAAUAAGCACCGGCUAACUUCGUGCCAGCAGCCGCGGUAAUACGAAGGGUGCAAGCGUUACUCGGAAUUACUGGGCGUAAAGCGUGCGUAGGUGGUCGUUUAAAGUCUGUUGUGAAAGCCCUGGGCUCAACCUGUGGAACUGCAGUGGAAACUGGACGACUAAAGUGGGGUUAGAGGGGAAGCGGAAUUUCCUGGUGUAGCCAAUGAAAUUGCGUAGG
rnacentral:rRNA from 1 species